GCCAGACUCCUACGGGAGGCAGCAGUGGGGGAUAUUGCACAAUGGGGGAAACCCUGAUGCAGCGACGCCGCGUGAGUGAAGAAGUAUUUCGGUAUGUAAAGCUCUCUCAGCAGGGAAGAAAAAAGACGGUACCUGACUAAGAAGCCCCGGCUAACUACGUGCCAGCAGCCGCGGUAAUACGUAGGGGGCAAGCGUUAUCCGGAUUUACUGGGUGUAAAGGGAGCGUAGACGGCAAUACAAGUCGGAAGUGAAAUACCCGGGCUUAACCUGGGAACUGCUUUGGAAACUGUAUGGCUGGAGUGCUGGAGAGGUAAGCGGAAUUCCUAGCGUAGCGGUGAAAUGCGUAGAUAUUAGGAGGAACACCAGUGGCGAAGGCGGCUUACUGGACAGUAACUGACGUUGAGGCUCGAAAGCGUGGGGAGCAAACAGGAUUAGAUACCCGCGUAU
rnacentral:rRNA from 1 species